rnacentral:rRNA from 1 species
UACGAAGGGGGCUAGCGUUGCUCGGAAUCACUGGGCGUAAAGGGUGCGUAGGCGGGUCUUUUAAGUCAGGGGUGAAAUCCUGGAGCUCAACUCCAGAACUGCCUUUGAUACUGAAGAUCUUGAGUUCGGGAGAGGUGAGUGGAACUGCGAGUGUAGAGGUGAAAUUCGUAGAUAUUCGCAAGAACACCAGUGGCGAAGGCGGCUCACUGGCCCGAUACUGACGCUGAUGCGCGAAAGCGUGGGUAGCAAACAGG